AUCUGAAAUCUUGAACUUCAGGAUUGAUCUUGAACAUUGCCAAGAAAGUACCAUUGUCGUUUCUCUCGACUAGCUUGGGGAAAAAUGUUGUUGAUCGAUUGGUCAUUCGGAUCCCACAAAUCGUGAAGCGUGCUAACCCAAACACCCCAAACCAUCCGUAAAGGCGAAGAACGAUUGUACGUACGGUUCGCAUCGAUACAGUGU